rnacentral:miRNA from 1 species
AUUUGAUUGCUGUGAUCUGGUUU